GAUGAACGCUAGCGGCAGGCCUAACACAUGCAAGUCGAGGGGUAACAGGAGUAGCUUGCUACUUGCUGACGACCGGCGCACGGGUGCGUAACGCGUAUACAAUCUACCUUUUGCUGAGGGAUAGCCCAGAGAAAUUUGGAUUAAUACCUCAUGGUAUCAUAUUAUCGCAUGGUAAAAUGAUUAAAGGUUACGGCAAAAGAUGAGUAUGCGUCCUAUUAGCUAGAUGGUGUGGUAACGGCACACCAUGGCAACGAUAGGUAGGGGCCCUGAGAGGGGGAUCCCCCACACUGGUACUGAGACAUGGACCAG
rnacentral:rRNA from 1 species